rnacentral:rRNA from 1 species
UUAGCGCGGUGGUCCCACCUGACCCCAUGCCGAACUCAGAAGUGAAACGCCGUAGCGCCGAUGGUAGUGUGGGGUCUCCCCAUGCGAGAGUAGGGAACUGCCA